AACGAACGCUGGCGGCAUGCCUAACACAUGCAAGUCGAACGAAGCCUUCGGGCUUAGUGGCGCACGGGUGCGUAACGCGUGGGAAUCUGCCCCUUGCUUCGGAAUAACAGUUAGAAAUGACUGCUAAUACCGGAUGAAGUCUUCGGACCAAAGAUUUAUCGGCAAGGGAUGAGCCCGCGUAGGAUUAGGUAGUUGGUGGGGUAAAGGCCUACCAAGCCGACGAUCCUUAGCUGGUCUGAGAGGAUGAUCAGCCACACUGGGACUGAGACACGGCCCAGACUCCUACGGGAGGCAGCAGUGGGGAAUAUUGGACAAUGGACGCAAGUCUGAACCAGCAAUGCCGCGUGAGUGAUGAAGGCAUUAGAGUUGUAAAGCUCUUUUACCAGGGAUGAUAAUGACAGUACCUGGAGAAUAAGCCCCGGCUAACUCCGUG
rnacentral:rRNA from 1 species